UGCAGUCGAACGAUGAAGCCAGCUUGCUGGUGGAUUAGUGGCGAACGGGUGAGUAACACGUGGGUGAUCUGCCCCAAACUUUGGGAUAAGCCUGGGAAACUGGGUCUAAUACCGAAUAUGACCGAUACUCGCAUGGGUGUUGGUGGAAAGCUCCGGCGGUUUGGGAUGGGCCCGCGGCCUAUCAGCUUGUUGGUGGGGUAAUGGCCUACCAAGGCGACGACGGGUAGCCGGCCUGAGAGGGCGACCGGCCACACUGGGACUGAGACACGGCCCAGACUCCUACGGGAGGCAGCAGUGGGGAAUAUUGCACAAUGGGCGCAAGCCUGAUGCAGCGACGCCGCGUGAGGGAUGACGGCCUUCGGGUUGUAAACCUCUUUCACCAGGGACGAAGCGAAAGUGACGGUACCUGGAGAAGAAGCACCGGCCAACUACGUGCCAGCAGCCGCGGUAAUACGUAGGGUGCGAGCGUUGUCCGGAAUUACUGGGCGUAAAGAGCUCGUAGGCGGUUUGUCGCGUCGUUCGUGAAAACUUGGGGCUUAACUCCAAGCGUGCGGGCGAUACGGGCAGACUUGAGUACUACAGGGGAGACUGGAAUUCCUGGUGUAGCGGUGAAAUGCGCAGAUAUCAGGAGGAACACCGGUGGCGAAGGCGGGUCUCUGGGUAGUAACUGACGCUGAGGAGCGAAAGCGUGGGUAGCGAACAGGAUUAGAUACCCUGGUAGUCCACGCCGUAAACGGUGGGUACUAGGUGUGGGUUCCUUUUCACGGGAUCCGUGCCGUAGCUAACGCAUUAAGUACCCCGCCUGGGGAGUACGGCCGCAAGGCUAAAACUCAAAGGAAUUGAC
rnacentral:rRNA from 1 species